rnacentral:rRNA from 1 species
GGGGGGGGGGGGGGGGGGGGGGGGGGGGGGGGGGGGGGGGGGGGGGGGCGGGCGGGGGGGGGGUGCUGGGGGGGGGGGCGGGGGAGGAACGCGGGGGUGACCUGCCCUGGACUUUGGGGUAACUUCAGGAAACUGGGGCUAAUACCGGAUAGGAGCUCCGGCUGCAUGGUGGGGGUUGGAACGUUUCGGCGGUUGGGGAUGGACUCGCGGCUUAUCAGCUUGUUGGUGGGGUAGUGGCUUACCAAGGCUUUGACGGGUAGCCGGCCUGAGAGGGUGACCGGCCACAUUGGGACUGAGAUACGGCCCAGACUCCUACGGGAGGCAGCAGUGGGGAAUAUUGCACAACGGGCGGAAGCCUGAUGCAGCAACGCCGCGUGCGGGAUGACGGCCUUCGGGUUGUAAACCGCUUUCGCCUGUGACGAAGCGUGAGUGACGGUAAUGGGUAAAGAAGCACCGGCUAACUACGUG